GCAAUUCACACCGGGAGAAAAGGUACUUUUAUUACUUCCAACUCUAAACUAAGCUAAGUGGCAAGGGCCCUUUGAGUUGUCACACGGAAGGUGGGGGAUGUUGCAAAUAUACCACCUAAACCUCCUGAAAGCCUCGAGGGAGGUGGAGUCUGUUUCUCUGGUGUCCGCGGUAUCAGAAAAAAAGAGCUAGGGCCGGAGGUGGCAAAAGCGGUUAAUCCCACCCCACCCCGCUCUCGUGCGAGGCCCGUCUCUCCGAGGACCAGAGAACGGUUUAUCGUGGACUAUGGCAGGGUGAACGAGGUGUUACAAUUUGAUGCCUACCCAAUGCCCCGGGUCGACUAACUCCUGGACUGGCUGGGCACUGCAUGUUUCUUUACGACCCUGGAUUUGACUAAGAGCUACUGGCAGAUUCCUCUGUCGUCAGAGUCCAAGGAAAAAACUGCUUACUCCACUCCGUAUGGGUUAUACCAAUUUACCACACUUCCCUUUGGCUCGUUCGGUGCCCCGGCCACGUUUCAACGGUUCAUGGACUGGGUACUGCGUCCACACGCCGCCUAUGCUGCCGCCUACUUGGAUGAUGUUGUUAUUAUCCACAGCACCACCUGGGCGGAGCACGUGUGGCGGGUAGGUGGGGGAAGUGUGCAGUUGAAGGGAGGUACGGUAUUUGCGGUACCACUUGGGGGGCGGGCAGGCGUGCACUCAGGUGGACAAGACGCCAGCUAUCGCGGCCUGCCCACGACCCAAGACUAAAAAAGAGGUUAGGUGGUUUUGGGGCAGGCGGGGUAUUACAGGCGCUUCAUCCCCGGCUUUGCGGACUUCACCAGCCCCUUGACUGAUCUGACCCGGAAAGGUCAGUCAGAUCCAGUGGUCGGAGCCAGCAGGCGUUUGAGAAGGUAAAGCAGACUCUCUGUGGGGAACCACUCCUCUACACCCCUAACUUUUCUUUUCCCUUUACUUUGCAGACAGACUCAUCGGACAAGGGGCUGGGUGCCGUUUUGUCCCAGGAGGUGGGGGGGGAGAGUUGACUGCCCCGUGUUAUAAAUCAGCCGGAGGCUGUCCGAGUGGGAGGCCAGGUACAGCACGGUGGAGUAGGAGUGCCUGGCCAUCCAGUGGGCGUUGGACUCCCUGCGCUACUACCUCCUGGGACGUCAUUCACCCUCUGUUCGGACCACGACCCGCUCCCCGCAUGAAGGAUACCAUACUAAUCUCCGCUCCCUCUUUUUUAAAUUGGUUCUGUUCAACCCUCUUUAAUGUUUUGUGUCUGUCUUUUUUGUUUUAUUUUUGUGUGAACUUUGUGGGAAUCGUAUUGCAUCUGUAAGUGUCGGUAUUGUUAAUAUUUCUUCUUUUAUCUGGCCGUAGAGUCGAUCAUGCCCGUUCCUGUGAACACCAAAUUGACUUGAGAAUCCUCAAGCUGAAAUAACAUCACCUGCCCAAAGUUCCAGUUUCCUGAAUACAAAGCCCUCUGUUUGGGAAUUUAUCCCACCUGACGAGUCUCGACGCAGUGACUCAAACAUCUUUGUCAAGGUUAAUUACAGAGGAUCAUUGCAGUCCAAAUUGAACACUGACUGGUCAACAUGAGUCGUCAAGUGCAUGUGUGUGACUCCCCACCGGGUUGUGUGACCUCCUCAGUCAAGUCUGGACUCAGUGAUUCAUUACUCUUGAUCAUGUUUACUCAUUUAUGGACACAUGCUGUUUUUUGUGUUUAGCUAUAGCUAAAGUUAAAAUCCAUUCCAAAACAAUUGUAUACUGUAUUUUUUGUAAUUGAAUUAUUUUUUCUUUUUAA